UACGUAGGGUGCAAGCGUUACUCGGAAUUACUGGGCGUAAAGCGUGCGCAGGCGGCUUUGCAAGACAGAUGUGAAAUCUCCGGGCUUAACCUGGGAACUGCAUUUGUGACUGCAUGGCUGGAGUGCGGCAGAGGGGGAUGGAAUUCCGCGUGUAGCAGUGAAAUGCGUAGAGAUGCGGAGGAACACCGAUGGCGAAGGCAGCCCCCUGGGUCGACACUGACGCUCAGGCACGAAAGCGUGGGGAGCAAACAGG
rnacentral:rRNA from 1 species